CUCUCAGUGCCUGUCUGCCCUCUGGAUGUGCCUUGUUGACCACUGACAGCCACAGGCACUUGAAAUCCAUUUUAUGAACAUGGGUUUGUUCUGUAUUGUACUUUGCCAAGAUUAUUAUCCUUAAGGAACAGGAGGUGAAACCUCAGAGCAAGGAGAUGAGAAAUUCUGCCUGAGCAGAAAAGAAAACUUUGGAUAUUUGUCUAGGGUGUACUGAUGUCCAACAGCCUGGUCAGGACAGCAAUUUCUACAGGACACCCAAGGAUGCUGAAGGCAGUCUCUGAUGUACACACAAGGAAAUCUCAGUGAGAAACACAAAUGCCUUAGUUACACUUUCCUGAUAUUUUCCAUUGCAUUUCACCUCCCAGCAGUACUGGAAGGCUGAGAUGCUCAGUAGGAUUCUUCAGAUGUGAAAAAGUAUCAGAUCCCUCCUCCAUCAUGACAUGCAGCCACACAGGGGGCUUGGAGGUAGUGCAUCCCCUCCCACAGCAGCACGUCUGGAUCUGCUUGAGCCCACUGAAAAUUCUCACCUUCCUAUCUCCAGCCUCAGAAACAGCCAACAGCACAGCCCUGAAGCUGCACAGUGGGCAAAGGACCCAGCCUCCAGUGGUGCUUUUAGGGAAGUGAGAA